AUGGCAAGCACAAGUUCUUCGUUCGAGAAGGAUGAGGAGCCGUCGGAUCCGCAGGUUCAGAAAAUCGCACCAGCCGAUCCGGCCGCUGGGGGCGAGCCGGCCGGAAACCCUGCAGAGCUGUCGACGACAGAGAUCAAGAAGAAGAAGAAGAAGAAGAAGAAGAAGGUGUUGAUUCAGGUGCCAGAUAGCGAUGUGAAACGUGUCCUCUCCUACAAGGAAGAAACCAUCGAUACGGAGGUGCCCGACCUAUGGGUCAGGAGAGACCCAGAACUGGCUGCGAACUUGGGCAUAAUGUGGGCCAACUUGGCCAUGCUCAAGGAGCUCACCAAGGGCCGGAUGCUAGAAGAGCAGAGAAACUAUAGGGAGCAGUUAAAAACUAAGGGUAGAGUCACCUACGAGCUUGAGGUUGACGAGGACGAUCCCAGAUUUAAAGAUGAAUCCACCACCUCUGCUGGAGCAGGACGGAGGAGAUACCGCCCGAGCGUCAUGAAAAAGCAAGAUGGACAUACCAGGAAGCUUAAUUAA
rnacentral:rRNA from 1 species